rnacentral:siRNA from 1 species
GAAGAGAUCCCUUCUAACAUGCCU